AUAUGUGUGUGUGAGCAAUAGAUCAUGUAAGUAAAAUAUAUGAGAACACGCACCUAUUACAGUAUUUAUGUAUGACCAAUAUGAUGACUGAGGUAUGCGUCAGAAUAAUCUGGGAGGCGAGGAAGUGGAUGAGGACACGGGUGAAAUAAAGCUGGUUGUGUACUGAUUAUAACGAAAACUGGGCUAUGAGUAUAUGAAAACGAGUGCACGUAUGUGUAUGCAUGACUGGGACACAGUGCUGUGCACCGGAAAUUGACACACUGUAACUGACUGUGCUUCAGUUAAAAACAGAACAAAACUGGGUUACGGACACAGGGAACUGGCAGGGUUUGCUCUAUUUUUGUUCACGAUUGAGGAUUUUUGUCCAUGUUAAAGAACUGAGAAAAAAGAAGAGGCACUUCCCUGGCAUCAGAGGUCCUGCCCGCCGCCUCUGCCGUGCUCGCCCCGAAGCUACCAGCUGUGAGUCACUUUUGACAAGUCUCUUCUUCCCCCUAGACCUCAAUUUCCUUCUCUCUAAACCAACCCAGUUGGACCAGGUGAUAUUUAAGAUCCCUCCCUGCCUGGACAUGAUAAGCCUUAUCUUCCUAAAAGGAACAUUCUGAAAGAUGGCCUGAGAUAAGACUUCCAGGAGAAGACCAGACGGAAUGAACAUAUUACUGAUCAAGGUGACGUCUUCUUAGUUCCCAGACCUCCUUUCUACCCCUUCCCACGGGCAGGGUGUUUCCUUUCUGUCCAUUUGAAAAAUGCAUGGACGGGCAUCUUCACUUCAUUGAUGAAGACGCCUGAGCGGGUGAGGGCUAACGCGCGGACCGCAGCUGGACGUGUGAGUCCGCAGCACAGCCGGGCAGGAAGCUCUCAGGCUCACUCCCCAGAGCCGUGUUACCUCCCCGGCGUCGGAGGAGUUGCCAGUGUAAUUUAUGCAGUUACAAGAAGGUUGGCCCUACUUUGUCCUGAGUUCUUUGUCCCACAACACGAGACAGAUGGGAAUUUAGUGUGUUGUGAUGUUUCUCUAAGUGUUUAAACUGAACUCCAUGGAAACUUUCCAAUCCAAGAUUAAUGUGAUUUUUAAAAAUCAGUAUAGCAAUUUGAUAUCAGUUUCAAUGCAGUUAAGCCAGAAUACAGACAUUUAUGUAAGCCCCUCUAAUUUUGCUGUAGAGAUGACUAGAUUAGUUUCAAAGCAGCUAAUGCCCAUCCAAUCCCAAUGCUUCAGAGUCCAAUUAGCUGGCUGCAUUUGACUAUCUGUUUUACACUGAAAGGAUUCAGAUCACACAACCCCAAAUAUGCCACUUUGGCAUCUGGAUUAUUUUGAGCCAAGGGCACUUGGGAACAGCAGAUACAGGAAGGGCUCUCUGUCCUCCUCCUUUCUACCUAAAAGCAGGUCAUAAUACUUCCCACGGAAAAGGUAACUCCUUGUACCAGGAAGAGAACAUUCUUUUUUUUCCCCCUCCCCACUUUACUGAGAUAUAACUGACAUUGAACAUUGUAUAAAUUUAAGUACAACAUGAUGAUUUGGUAGAACAUUCUUACCAUCAGAGACUGGGAGUUGAUCAUGUGAAGGAAAAGCCGGGCUGAGCCUACUCGUAAAUCUAAGUUAAUAAGUAUCGGUUUGCUGAUUCCCUGCUCAUGUUUUUUGCUAGCCAGCUGAAUUUUCAGAGAGACAUAUCUGGGCUUGAAAUGUUGGUUUGCUGCCUCCCUGCCUCUACUUUUGUGAUAAUGAUGCUGCUAAAGCUGUUCCAUGCCAAUUGGCCAAAUACCCCCAGCUUGUAAUUAACCCUAUGAAACCUCAUGCGCACAUCUUGGAGGUGCUCAGAGCUUCGGAGCAGAAGCCCCUCUGAGCCCGCAGGCGUAAUACAUCUGAGUACUCCAACCCUCCGAGUGGUGCUUGUUUCUUGACUGGCCUGUCGUUUCCCUAACAAUGCCAGCUUAAUGCUUAGGCCAGCCACAGAACCUAAGAGGGUAGAAAGAAAUUUUUUCUCUCCUACAACAUACAUAUGAGACAAACACAGGGACUGAUUUGUUAUUUCUUGCUCUUUUUUUCUUGGCUUAUCUUUUUUUACAGUUAAUCUUCCACUUUGCCCAGAUUUUCCCCCUUGGUUCUAAGUUUAUAUUUCAAAAGCUUAUAUUGGCAGAGAAAAGAGUUUAGGUUGGUUUUAAGCAUUUUGUAAUAAUGAAGAUGUUAAUUUCCCUUUGUAAUUUUUUUUGAACAGCUGUAGAUGGAAUAAUUUGUCUUUUUUUCAUUGUAAAAAUAGAAAUUGCUCUGAUUAGAAAAACAAUAAAUGGGGGCGGGUAUAGCUCAGUGACAGACUGUGUGCUUAGCAUACAUGAGGUCAUGGGUUCAAUCCCCAGCACCUCCAUUUAAAAAAAAGUCUAAUUACCUCUUCCCACAAAUAAUUAAAUAAAAAAUAAUAUUCAUCUCAAAAAAGACUAUCCAAGGAAAAAAUUUAAAA